rnacentral:lncRNA from 1 species
GGACGCCAUGGGCUACCAGGGUUGUAGUGGUAGGCAGGGUGGGGGUGAGGCUUGGAUGCCCAGAAAGGUCUAUUCUAUUUUUUAAUAGCUUUAUUGAAAUAUAAUUUACAUACCAUAAGAUUCACUCCUUCUAAAUGUACAAUUUUUAAUUCAUUUACUACAUUGGGUAAAUACCUACAUAACUAGCUUUAUAGUAUUUUAGCAUUCCAAUAAGAUCUCUACAGCCCACCUCUGGCCCCUGGCAACCACUGGACAGCAUUUAACUUUUUGUCUCAUAUUUGCCUCAGAAAGGUGUAUUCUUAUUCUUCCCAUUAUCUCCUACCCUUCUUCCUCCAUUUUACCCUGGUUGACCUGCAGGUGGGUGGUAGGACCUUCUGACCAGUUACUUGGGAUGCUAGGCCAUAGGAGCACAAGAGCUAUGGGUAUCAUUUAGAGGGGUGACCUUACAUGCUAGGCUGGUUCAAGUGGUUCCUACCACUUAAAGGGAGAGUUCUGGCCUCUUCUGUAAAUCUUAGUUGAAAGAGCUUGGUUUGAUUCCUGAUGCUGGUACUGUGUGGCUGUGACUUUGAACAAGUCAGUUAUUCUGAGCCUUAGUCAUUCAGUUCCAGCACAGAAUGUAGAAGCAAAUAGAUUUUUUUUUUUUUUUUU